rnacentral:rRNA from 1 species
UACAGAGGGCGCGAGCGUUAAUCGGAAUUACUGGGCGUAAAGCGCACUUAGGCGGCUUGGUAUGUCGGGUGUGAAAUCCCCGGGCUCAACCUGUGAACUGCAUCCGAAACUGCCUUGCUAGAGUAUGGGAGAGGGAAGUGGAAUUUCCGGUGUAGCAGUGAAAUGCGUAGAUAUCGGAAGGAACACCAGUGGCGAAGGAGACUUCCGGGACCAAUAAUGACCAUCAGGUGCGAAAGCGUGGGGAGCAAACAGG